rnacentral:tRNA from 1 species
UAAAAGGUCGGGAUAGCUCAGUUGGAG